UACUGAAUCGAUUCAGUGAUUCGAUGUUUCACCCAUGAAAAUGGACAUUCGAUUUUUUCUGUUUUUUCUAAAAACAAGGGAGUUUUAACUAUCAAUAAAACCUAUUAUUUUUCCUUCCUAGUAAAUAUUCGAAGGCGUUGAGUAUAAUUAGUCUCGGUACUGUUUAAUUUAUUGAGGUUGUGUUCGAGAAUUUUGUAUGUCUGUAGGUGAAGAAAAGAAAUAAAUUAACCUCAAGUAGUGUUUAUUAUGUGUUCCUGUGGUAAGGCCGGCAACGCCCUUAUACAGAGUAAUCGUGGCAGUGACCAUCGGUCAGAGAAGACAACAAAGUGUCCACAUGUUCCAUUCUUUCCUUUGGGAUCACGAGCGAGAUGCAUUCGCGUCGCAUAAUUUCGAAAAUUGUCACAUUUAUGCUAAUGUUAUCGUCUAUGGCGUUUACUUUGAUUAAAUGAAUGAAAACUUA